ACUCCUACGGGAGGCAGCAGUGGGGAAUAUUGCACAAUGGACGAAAAGUCUGAUGCAGCAACGCCGCGUGGAGGAUGACACAUUUCGGUGCGUAAAACUCCUUUUAUAUAGGGAAAGAUGAUGACGGUACUAUAUGAAUAAGCACCGGCUAACUCCGUGCCAGCAGCCGCGGUAAUACGGAGGGUGCAAGCGUUACUCGGAAUCACUGGGCGUAAAGAGCGUGUAGGCGGAUAGAUAAGUCAGGAGUGAAAUCCUAUGGCUCAACCAUAGAACUGCUCUUGAAACUGUCAAUCUAGAAUGUGGGAGAGGUAGAUGGAAUUUCUGGUGUAGGGGUAAAGUCCGUAGAGAUCAGAAGGAAUACCGAUUGCGAAGGCGAUCUACUGGAACAUAAUUGACGCUGAGACGCGAAAGCGUGGGAGCAAACAGGAUUAGAUACCCUGGUAGACUGUCAU
rnacentral:rRNA from 1 species